CUUGGUUUCAAUUAAUUCGAAGAUUGCUAGCUACAACUAAAAUGGUGAUUCAAUGUUUUGACAUAAUAUGGUUUUCCGAAACCAUUAUUAAGAUAGUCUUGAUAAUAUAUGUCCAAAACUAUAAAUCACAAGACAUGUAAGUUGUAGAGAUCCAUCCAUCAUGGAUCUUAGCAAGUUAGUGGGAGCUAUUUGCAUUUUAUGAGGAAAAAAGGAUCAAAUCGUUUGAUUUCUCAUCAAGAUGUAAAUGAAUCUUUUGUUUACGAGUUUUACAAAAGAUU
rnacentral:lncRNA from 1 species